ensembl:lncRNA
CGCCACGAGUCGAAUGGUUUGUCUCCAAAGGGCAGCGCCUCCCUAUUGGUCAGUCGCCCCCUGACGUCACAGGCGCACCGCUUCUACUGGCGUGUGCGCUGCUUGCGGAGUUCUUCGCCUACCUUAAGCAACUACAAGCUCAGCCCAGAGCUGCAACCUGGGGCCGCCCGGAGUUAAAGGGGAGCAGCGGUGGAGGGAGGCGCCCGGUAGGCUGCAGACGCAUCCCAUGGAAGCUCCAACCCUGUAUCCUAGAGCCCUUGUUUCCAGGAUUGGAGACUUUGGAAUAGCCUGGCUGGAGGCUGAUCUCUUACAAUUCAUUUGCACCCUUUCAGGUUGCUUGUGUUCAGAAGCAGUGGCCCUAGCAUUUAAAGUCAGACCCCCUCACUUGACCUUCCCCCUCCCUCAGGAUCCCAACUCUACUCUCCUCCCAAGGGAACACCUUGGCACUGUGGGUUUUUCCAGAAGUACUUUCUUGAAGCCAUAGAGGGAAGAAAAAACCCUACAUCUGGGCUUCAUCUCAUGGCAGGGGUCGGGGGUAGUAGAGAAAGAAAAAUCAGACCCUGCUCUGGCGAGAUUCCUGCUGUUUUAGGCCCUAUUUCCUAUAUGUUGACCCCCCAAUAAAGGAGGAACACCUCCCACCCCCAGAACGCAGCAGCCUGCUCUGAAAGCGAAUCCUUGGAGGGCUGACAGUAAUGCAUUUUUUUUUCCUAUUGAAAACAGAAGCUACUGUAAUGCUUUCAAAUAUAUGCAAAUGAUACAUGCGGUUAGUGGUUUGGCAAAUCUUGAUUACAAUAUAAACUACCCAAGUAAAAGUGCCUUCGUCCUAAAUUUGUCUCUCGAUUACAAUUCCAAUUGAUUUUAUUUUAUUGUCAACAUUGUUAAUGAUAAAAAUAGAGUCGUUUUACAGUUAUUUUUACUUUCUGGAAGGAGGCAAUUAGAGUUCUAAUCAGGAAUACACAAAAAAAUCUCCCAUGAUUAACUGCAGCACUUUGUUCAAAUUGCUGCUAUAAAAUUCAGAACAAUUUGCCUGUAAUGAUCAUGGACUGGGUUUAUUUUGGGAGGUGGAAUAAAAGUGGAUAUAGCAUAAAUUAUCCUCUAAUUAUACACCAGUGUCGCCUCAAUUAUCCUCUUAUCAAAAUGGUUGUCUAACUGCCGCAUUUAGUUUCAAUUCUCUCCUUUUUUUCUAUAAAAAGAACUUCAUACCUUGUUAUUAUUAAUCCAUUUAUUAUUUGCAAGGGGGUUUAUAUCCGCACAUCCAGGUGGUAGCACCACUUCUGUUUCAAAGAUGGACUGGGGAAAGACAUUAAGUUUGGAGCAGCUCAGUACAACGGAUCUAGCCUUUCUCCCUCGGGUCUCCAGACUCACUUAGGUCCAAGCUGCGGAGCAGGGACAACGGAGCCCAGGCGGCCACCUUCAGGCCCAGCCACCAGGGCUUUUCUGUGCAGCCCUAGCAGUCCAGAAAUCUUACUUCACAGCCUGACCUCGAAUUCAGAAACCUGCCUGCCUCUGGCCCCCAAAUGCUGGGAUCAAAGACCUGCACCAUCACACCUGGCUGUUUUGGUUGGAGAUCAGAGCAGCCAGAGUCUGAGAUUUUUCAUCCUUGAUUUUCCAGCUGCUGAGAACCAGAGGGAAACCUCCUCCCAGAAGAACAUUUCCAUACACUGCUUCCCCACUGCUGUGGAGUCCCCUGAACACUGGUCCCUGGACACCAACUUCAAGAAGACUUCGUGAUGGCUGUCCAGUCUUAUGAACCACAGUUUUCCCUGUGUGUUUUCUCCAGUGAUGCUCUCAUCUGGGUCAGAUUAGAGAUGAACCAGCUGGAGAACAGAUUGGAGCGCUGACCUCUUAGAGUGCUAACAGUCAACAGUUUGCUGUCAGACCCAUAGAGAAAUAAUAAAAAUACGUUCCAUGCAAGGGAGUGGGAUGUUUAUAAUUCCUUAAAGGCUGAAAUCAAGGAACAAUCAAAAUAUAGAGGAAUGCGGACUUGUUUUACUGCAGGAUUUUUGUUUUGUCCCUACUGGGAUACAUAUUCUGGUGUUACUACUGCAUCAGGACUCAGGCAAGGCUAUGUAUUCUAGUGGUGCUCCUACUUAGCUCUUGUGCUUUAGUAAGAGACACUAACUCAUUAGACUUGGUAUUACUGAUCUGCACUGUAGGUCUGCACUCACGACCUGGGAGAUAUUGGCAAUGAUUCUCUUAUAUGAUAAAGGUCAAUGAUAAAAGUACUUCAACUCCCCUCGAACUUUUUGUUUGUACACCAAGUGAUGACACUGUGUAUUGAACUAAUUAGAUCAGUGGAGUUACAGGGUGAUACUGACCUCUAAAAAUAUUUGGCUGAAACCUGGCAUUGCUAGUUAUCUGUAGAAGAGGACGAUAUGGAACAUGCAAACAUCACAAAACAUGGGAUUACUGGUCAGACUUGGAAACCCAGCAACCAGGCAAGUUCAGCAUAGAACCUGCAGAAACUAGCAGCAGGUAGACAUGGUUCCUUUUCCAUGGAUCUUACAACCAAAUGUCCCUGUAGAAAGCAGAGGCUAUCAUGUGUAUGUGGCCACACAGAUGUUCUUGAGCACAGCCUCUAGUCAGUGGGAGAGUUCCUACUGCUGUAGGCCAUGGCUGUCUUCUCUAAGCCUGAAUUUUACAAACACUUUGUGAACCUGGACUGCUUUUCUUUAGCAAGCCUUGAAAAGUUCCAGGAUGUCAGGGAAGUGUCUUGGGGUUGGCAGGGCUUCUAGGGAGGGAAAUAUUAAAUGAUUUGGACCAGAAAAGAAAAAGGGGAUGGGGUUCAGAACCAACAAUUACCUCUAUUCUAUGUAGGAAACAAUAAUAUGAAAUACGCUGGGCACGGAAACUUUGAUACUAAAACUUGGUUUUUGUCCCUUUUAAAAAGUAAUACUUAAAAAGCUAUGUGGUUGUAGGCAAGCCAUUUCCCAUCCCCUGUGGAUGUCUCCUGAAUGACUCUAAACCUGUUCUAGUUCUCAAAGGCCUUUAACAUAAGUCCCCAGGCUACAGUGGCCACUUUAAAAAUACCCUCCCUAUGGUUGUUAGGUCUUAACGUUUCCAGCAGUUACAUAAACAUUUUUAUUUUUGAGGGAGGGUCUAUUCUUAUCAACUUUUAAAAAACACACAUCCGGUUCUUUUCUGGAAUUAAGAAGAUGCAAACUCCAAGUCCCCUGCCUUCCAUACUGCCUGCCUUUCUUCCUGUUCGUCCCUUAUUCCCAUCCCUGUUGAGUUUGUGCUAUGCACUGCAUCAGGUAUACCCUAGGUUUGGAGAUACAGGAUAAACCUGACUCAGAGGGGUCUUCCCUUUCUCUUCUGGUGCUUUCUUUGGAGGGAGUCUGUUGUAUCUAGGCAGACUGUGCUGUGGCGCCCCUGAGGUAACCACCCAGGCGCUUCAUUCUGCCUAAGCAAUUUCAUUGUGCACUAAGAUACACAUCCCAGUAACUGUCCAGAUUACCACAAGAACUUUCUCCAAAUAUAAGGAAGAGGGAGAUUUUACUUCUGAGAUGUGUGUAUGACAACCCUCCAUCCUGGGAAGAACACUGAAUACUGCCUGCACCUCAUCCUAGCCUAAGGAGUGAGAGUGUUUUCCUGUAUCAUCCCGGUGGAUUGCUACUUCUUUAAGAAGGAAUGGGAAAAACACCAAACAGACAAACAUGUUAUCACAAAUUCAGUCUGACCUCAUUGGAAAUCCUUUUAAAAAUUAAUCAUUUCUAUCUCUUCAUUAUCAACAAAUCUACUGAAUACUUCUCUCUUGAGUCCAGGGCAUAUUUUAUAAUACAUAAAACAAUGAAAUUUCAAAUUCAGAGCACUGACAUAUACUAUUCGUUUUGAGUAUUUUUAUUAUAGGGAAUGACUUUAGACAUUCCAAUUUAUGACUUAAGUGGUAAAAUGGAUAGCUCUUGACUUUCAACUUUCCUUUUCAGUUCAGGUCAAGGAAUAGCUACCUCCAGGUAAUGUCUACACUUUCCUAUGACUAAGGACUCUAACUAUUUCUGUUGCCUUUCUUUAUGCAGGCAUAUGUUAGCAUUUCUUUUCUAUGUGACAAAUGUACUAAAGAGAGUAUAAAAUUCAUGAGAUAAGCUUUUUGGAUAGGAAUUUAGAAAAACAAGGAGUCCAGAUAAAUGAGUGAAAAAUCAACUUAAAUAAUCAACAUAUCCAAGAUAUGUAUUGGAAUAAAUGUCUAUUGUACCAUUUUGGUUUUGUCUUGUUUUCUAUUUUUGUUCUUAUUGAUGAUGAUGUUGUUUGUUUGUUAUUUGAGAAAGAACAGAAGGUUGGGUGGAUAGGAAGGUAGAGAGGAUCUAUCUGGAUGGAGUUGGGAGGAGGGAAAAGUACAUGAUCAAAUGUAUUUUAUGAUGGGUGGAGCAUAGUGGUGUAUGUCUUUAAUCCCAGCACUCAGGAUGCAGAGGCAGGUGGAUCUCUGUAAAUUGGAGGCCAGCCUGGUAGACAAAGGAAGACCAGAACAGGGCUCUGUUACACAAAGAAAUCCUAUUUCAAAUAUAUAUGUGUGUGUGUGUGGGGGGGGUGUUGUGUAAUUUUUAACUAAAACUGUUUAUCUUUUGAGAUAGUCACAGGUAACCCAAACUGGUCUUGUGACUGGUAUAAACACACACAGUUAAUGUUCAGAUCCUGUAGGUAGCAUGCCUCCCUUUGUGGAGAAGGCACCAUUCCUCCCUCUGUGGUGCAGAAGUGGAAUCAGUAAACCCAUAGAAUUCCAACCGUUCUAGUGAAAACGUUCUGCUGAGCACCUCACACUUCCAAGUGUGAAGCCUUUUGUGUGAAAGCUCCGAGCAUCUGAGUGCUAGCCCUGUGAAGGUAUGUAUGUGUGAAUGGUCUGGUGUGUUCUACUUCCAGCCAUUGACCUUGAAGCAACGUCUAUGUUUUCUUUAUCCUUCAAGAGAAAGAAAAAUAUUUUUUUUCCAAGCAAUUAAGACUCUUCUGCUUCAGGUAGGAUAGAAGAAUUAGGAGUUGUGUUUCAUUGUAUAUAAUUGCAAGUUUCAUCUUUCUUGCUUUAAUGAUUGACAGAAAACUGAUAAACCGAGACAUCUUCUUAUGAGGGUUGAAUGUACUCUCUUGGUGGCCCCAUUACUAAUUUGUUUGACUAUUUUCUACGAUUUCUUACUCUGUAAUGGAAAGGUUUAUUAAAUAUGAGGGUUGCAAAGCUUUCUGAAUACUAAUGAACUUAUUUGCCAAAAUUUAAAUGUUCUUCUUGUCAGUGAAUGCCUGUCUCGCUUAACAGGAACCAAAUUGAAUAAUGAAGAAAAUUAGACUCUAUCGUACCCUCAAGAGAAAUCGUGUGUGAAUUGUAAUAGAAAAUUGAGGGAGAAAAGGGUCAUAUUGUAGCAAUAACACUAGAUAAUUUGGAUUAUUUUAAAAAAGGAUGAACUUAGGAAAGCUCAGGUCUUUUCAAGGAUACACACAUUCGGUUAAUUCAUGCAAAACGUUGGUUUCACCUCAACCCAGGCAGUCUAUACCUAUUCCCAGUUUAUAGUAAAAGGAACCCAGAUAAGUGGGAAACGCAUGCCAGGUUUCUGUGCUUACAAUCCACUAAACUCAUUCUCAUAUAAGGACUUUAUAUACCUGCGAUGGAAAGGGAAAAUCAAUAGCCUUGAAAAAUGAGCACCGUUUUUCAGAGAAGUUCGAUAAAGAGAGGGAAUUUGGGAAAUUGCUGCAGUUCUUCCUAUAAGCAUAAGACAAUGAGUCUGUCCUCUUUCUGGAGCGUUUAAUCCUAUCAUCGUGGUGUUAUGGCUAAUGAAGUACAUGAUCUUGAUGUCUUUCCUUUACUAGCAUCCAGGGGCAUCAUGGGAACAACAUGGCUGCCCCUGGACUAGGGAAACUGGGCGGGGGAAAUUCAGCAAGCAUACGAACUGCGAAGGAUAGUUAGGCUUAAACACAGGCUGUGUGUGGAGUAAAAUCAAGCAGCUAAGGGGCAGAGAAUGAAAAUGGAAAGGUGACAAGGACCACAGAUGAAAAAUUGGACCUUUUCCUCCUGACAGGAAUCUAGGAAAGGGACACAUUUCACUGCGGGAGGCUCUGGAGGCCGAGAAAAUAAUAAAAUGGAAAAUAACGAAUGUCUUCAGGGUAAAAACAAACUUUUCUGAGACUUCAAACAAACAAACAAACAAACAAAGGAAAGGAAAGGAAAGGAAACUAAAAAGGAAGGUCAAGACCCUCAAAGACUGGAGCUCUUAAAGAAAGCAAAACAUGCAAACUGGAAAGCUAAAUGCUAUUCCAAGACAACAAUGAACAGGACCAGAAAACGUGAGGAAAGCGAGAUUUGUGUGUAGGGCUUGUUUUUCAACCCAGGAAAGGAAGGGUUAUGGCACAAACAACUUUUGGAUAUGAUGCUGGGCUUCAUCCCCAAAGAAGAAAAAAAAUGGCUGAUUUAUCUUAGAGCAGUACUAUGUUACACUAUUUUAUCUGGGGGUGGGGACAGAUCUCUUUUAUUGCCCUUGAUGAGAUUAAACAAAAUAAAACAAAACAAAAAGCCUAGAUUGUUUAUGUGGGGAAGGCUUUUGAGUUACAAAAUCUCGAUUUUUUUCCACCUAAAACGAGAAUUGGGUUUCUACAAUUAACUGAAUAAACGGAAGGAGAGGAACAGAUUUUUACCUGUAUCAUUUCAGCUCCUAGCCGGCUCUGAUGGAAAUAACGAAUUUAUCAAGUAGAGAGGGAGGCAGAGGAGGAAGAAGACAAUGGCACACAGGAACGGUUGCCUGUCCAGUAAGAUGGUCCAAUUUGUGAGAAAAUCAAAUGAACAAUCAAGUUUGAAGGACAUGUUCGAGAAGGAGUGUGAAAUAAUAAGAUAUUUAGAAGGGAAAAUUACUUGGGAAACAGUGAAUGAUGAAUUACAUGGGAGAUGAUUAAGGAUUGGGGAAGGCAGGGGGGAGGGAUAAUUGAAAUGGGAAGCAGAGGGUGACUAAGUGGCUGCGAAAGGGCAAGUUCAGACUCUGCAUGGCGACCUAGCAACCUCUAGGGAAGGUUCGAGAGCUGGAAUAUAACGGUGGAAAAGACCAAAACAAUCCAUGGUUCCCGCGAAAAGUCGAGAACAAUAGACGGAGCAGUAGCGGUGAGUGUCAUCCCUUAGGAAUGAAAGCACAUCAGGAGGAAUGCAUUAGUCUAUAUUCUCCAUUCGUUUAUGAGUAGACUGUUCCUCAUCUCCCUUUGUAACAGGCCGGCUUAUAAAAUGAUUGCUAUUAGAAAAGGUAAGCAUUGCCAGGGAAGUUAAGAAAAGAUCCCCAUCUAGAGAAGCUGAAGCAGGGGGUCCAUGAACAAGCCCCUUCACAGCCUUUAAUAUGAGAUUUCCAAAUUGAGCAUCCCAGAAAAGACGGAGAGAUCAGUUAUUCGAACAGAAGUGUAAGGAGGGAGGAGGGAGGAAGUUGAAACUGCUGUAAAUACUUUAUUUUCCUACAACAUUCUCCCCAUCCACAAAAACGAUUGCCAUACACUACAAAGCUUUUGGAUAUUGUUUGAAACACUUAUGUGA